CAGACUGCGGCACCGGGCUGCUGCUGCGGGCUUGGGAAGGGCCAGCGGGCAGUUGAGACUGAAGGGCUGAGAAAACUCAGAAUAAAGUCUUGUGAGAGUUCACAGAGUUGUUUUGCAAUGGACUUAAACCCAGGCUCUGCUUUCAGCCCUCCUGCUGGCAUUGCCUGGCGAGGGGCUUAGGUGUCUUGGGCAUAAGGAGCGAGGGGCUUAGGUGUCUUGGGCAUAAGGAGUGCGGCACCCCCCUCCUAGGGCCCUUUUUUUUAUUUGGGGGGGGGGUGGGGUGGGGAUACAAACGAAAACAGGGGCUUUAGCAGGUGCACAUGCUUGUUUCCCCACAGGCACCCCUGAGCAAGUAGCAGGGACCCUCUGCAGCAAAGAGUAGUGGGAAAACAGCACCGAUCCAUGGGUGAAGGGACAGUUUGGGUAACUACACCUGCUGCUGCAAGGCCCUUGCUGUAGGGUGUGGAAGGCUGUGACAUGGGCUGUGUGACCAGCCUGCCUGGUGUUGUCGCUGCAAGGGAAGACCUGCUUUACUUCAGUGUUUGUCCUGCGCCUGGCCCAAGGCCUCUGCUCAACCCUCUGCAGCAGCAAGGCUUGAGCUGUAAAGCUCAAGUGAUUCUUGUGAAAGAUCAGCUAGCACUGGAAGCUCUGCCCUUAAGUCUCCAUUUGCCCUGCUUGCUGCCUAAAUGGUCUGAUAAUGGUGCUGUUGCUGGUUUUUGGCUUGAUUCAGGUUUCUUUGAAGAGCGGUUCCUGGCACCGGGGAGAUGCUUCCAGAUCGGCACCGAGCCCCGGGGCUCUCAGCAUUGGCACUUCGGCUCCGCUUCCUGCACCUCUGAGAGUAACGAGUGGUUCUGCAUUAGCAAAGUAAGUUUAACUGGGCGGGUGUUUUAG
rnacentral:lncRNA from 1 species